rnacentral:rRNA from 1 species
UUAAAUGGCUGCAGUAAUUUGACUGUACAAAGGUAGCAUAAUCAAUAGUUUUUUAAUUAAAAGCUGGAAUGAAUGGUUGGACGAGAUAAAAUCUGUCUUUAUUUAAUUUAUAAUAGAAUUUAAUUUUUAAGUUAAAAAGCUUAAAUUUUUAUAAAAGACGAGAAGACCCUAUAGAGUUUUAUAUUUAAUAUAAUAUAUUUAAUUUAGAUUUUUUUAUUAUAUAUUAUAUAAAGUAUUUUAUUGGGGUAAUAUAAAGAUUAAAUUAAUUCUUUAAGUUAUUUAUUAAUAUUUUGUAUGAUCCAUUUAUAGUGAUUAAAAGAUUAAAUUACCUUAGGGAUAACAGCGUAAUUUUUUUAGAGAGUUCAUAUUGAUAAAAAAGUUUGCGACCUCGAUGUUGGAUUAAAGAUUAAUUUAGGUGCAAAAGUUUAAAUGUUUGGUCUGUUCGACCAUUAAAUCUUUACAUGAUCUGAGUUCAGACCGGCGUGAGCCAGGUCGGUUUCUAUCUUUAUUAAAUUAAAAUAUUUUAGUACGAAAGGACCAAAUAUUAAUUAUAUUAAUUAAUAAAUUUGAAUAUUAUU